AUAAUCUGGUCGCGGAGGACUUUGAACGAUUCCGGUGGAUUGAACGAUUCCGAAGGAGGAGAUGUUAGUCAGUUGAGUAAAAGUUGGCUACUAUCUCGGGAGGUCUAUUGCUGACAAUAAUCUCCGUCUCUUCUCCAUCUAUAAAUGGAGGAACAGGGGAAGGCUUGAGCUUUUACGGAGGAGAAAGUAAAAGCAGAGAAGCAAGAGAGAGGGAAAGAGAGAGCAAGAA